AGGAUAAGUAAACAAAACAGCGCGAAAAUUUAAGAAAAGGCAAGUUAAGCUUCGUAACAACUGGACAGAACAAGACAUUCAAGACGCUCUUCACAAGUUAGAUUUGGUUCCUGGAAAGUCAAUAUGUGGUGUUGCCGCCCAAUAUGGCCUUAAGGAAUCAAUGCUCCGAAGAUUUGGGCAAAGGUGGUUGCAGGUACUGAAAAGCAUGUCAAUUAUGUAUGUGCGACACAGAGACAGAAGCUCAAUUAGCUGAUUGCAUUACCGUGAUUUGCAACCUAGGGUUUAGUUCCACAUUACACGAAGUAAUUGAUGUUGUCCAUGAUAACAUUGUUGCUAACAAUAUAAAUUGUCUACAGUUCAAGAAUAGACGGCCAGACUUAAUUUGGAUGAAGAACUUCAUAAAGGGAAAUAGCCUAAGCCACAAAAAAGCGGAAAUGAUUAACAGCGCAAGGAAAGCAAACACGUCCAACCCCUUCAUCAUUUGUGACUUUAUCAGUCAAGUUGAUGAGAUAUUGAGAACACAUCUAGAUCUUGAUGCUAGCCGUAUUUGGAACUGCGACGAGUCCAGUUUUUCUACUGAUCCGUAGCAAGAAAAGUAGUAUUGGUUAAAGGUCAACGAGCUACAAAACUUUGCUUCGAAGCCAGUCACGAAAAUGUUAAUAUACUCGCAGUGUGUAGUGCUUUAGAAGUCUUCUUGGAUCCAAAGAUUGUUUUCAAAAACAAAAGCAUGCAACAAUCUUGGUUCGAAGAUAAAACCCUUCCAAAUACAUACUACGGGAAAUCCGAAAAUGAUAUGCAAUGAUAUCACAGUGCUGUCCCGAUAUCACAAACCUAAAGGAAAGGGCAAAAAAGCUCGUAAAAUGGCAAGUAUCGAAGGGUUUUUUGAGAGUUUUUUAAGGAAAAGGGCAGAAUUUAGUUCGAGAUAUUGAGAGUUCUUACCCAACCGAAUGCAAAAUAAAAUUCUGUUAGGGUAGAUGGAAACUAACACAUUCGCGGAAUGGUUCGACUACUCUGUAAAUUUUGUAACAUACCAUUGCUCAUGAUGGCCAUUUAACACAUGUGUCCAACCAAGUAAUCCGACUGGCAGUUGAGGAAAAUAUCGUACUGUUGAAAUUUCCUUAGCACGUUACCGAAGUAAUGCAACCUUUGGAUGUGUCUUGUUUCAGGCCUCUUAGACGCUUAUGGGUAAAGUUUUACAUCAACGCAUCAAUGAGCAGGGAAUAAAAAAUUUAUUAAUGAAGUCGGAGUUUGAUGAAGCCUAAAAAUGCCAUAAGUGGUUUUGUGACAACAAGUUUAUUACUUUAAUGAUGGUUUAGAUCUCACCUUUAAAAUAAAUUUCCAUUUCUACAAUACUGUAUUUUGAUUAUUAUACACUUAGGUAUUUAUCCUGUCAAUCCCGAAAAAUAGCCAAAGGAUCACUUAGACCCAAGACUUCUGCAAAAAUACGAAGUCUGAAAGCAGUCUGGAGAACCUUUGGACUGGGGCAAACUGGUUUAUUUGGAAACCAAAAUGGGAACUUGGCCCUACUGAAGUAACAACAACCCCAACCAGCAGUGUUAAAAUCUUUCAAGAGGGGUUCCUUGAUUAGGUAAAGCCACCAAAAAGCACAAUCAACUUAAAAGACGAAAAUUAGACGUCAGAGGAAAGUUAAAUUUGAUGUUGCUUUAUUUUACUUUGGUGUCACUCGCCUUCUGUUGCCCUACAUUGCUUAAUAUUUUUUUGAAUCUAAAAAAUGAAAGACAUGGAUUUGUAAAAACAUUCACCUUUAACAAUUUAGGUAAUUAUGCAAAAGGAAUUUCUGGAGGAGAUGGAGCGAAAAGAACAAGAACGGAGGGAAAAAUAAAGCAAACCGAAGGGAAGGGAAGGAGAGGAAGAAAGAAGGUGGAGGAAAUGGUAGAAGAAGAAGAGUAAAAGGAUAUUACUGUCCCUGACUAUGGUUCAGAAGAAGUUCAGGAUGAAGAAGAGGAAGAAGAAGAAGAGGAAGAAGAAGAAGACGAAGAAGAAGAAGAAGUGGCAAAACAACCAAAUCUAAGUCUGCCUUCUAUGGAAGCGUGCUGGAAAACCCUUGCAAAUAAGGAAGAAAUUGUUAAAAAGUAGUUUGGUUUUAUUUACACUUCCAAGAAGUCUGAAAAUCUAUUUAUUGGAAAGGCAAAAGGACCUUUUUUUAAUGAUCAAGGAGAUAUCACUGCCCUGGAAUUGGACUGCUUAGAACAGAAAUUGGGAGUGACAGACUGUAUCUUUCGGAAAUCUAAAAACGCUGACAUGGAUGACUUUCCGGCAAAAAAUGUAAUCUGUGGUCCCCUCGACGCCAAAUUUUUAUCGCACAGGCAUUGGGAGAUACCUUGAUAUUUAGCAGUGAGGAAAGCCUUCAAAAGUGUGAAGAAAAUUGACCAGCAGAGGGGUUACGAUUGUUUGUGUGCAAGACAUUAAAAACCAAAGAUGUUACUUUUAAUGUUGAAUCAAGCACCUCAAACACUGUUGUUCUCGUAUGUGUCAGGGGUUUUCGCGGUUGUUUUGAUCAUUUAUAUUGUGCGAACUUUGAAAAAACGUAUUUUCUAUCUAUAUAUAGAAACGUUAAAUGCUCCUGCUUAAUGACACCCUUGCGUCUGUUUAAAUAGAUGUGCGGAAUGAUUAAAAUAAACGUGCAGAGUAGCAUAAUUCUCAAAAUUCUGCAUUUUUUUAAAAAACAGUUGCGGAAUUAAUGCAUAUUUUAAUUUCAAAUAUUCUGCCCAACAAAAAGGCCUACAUUAUGUGCUGAAACAAUAGUAAUGAGAUAAAUUUAAUGAUGCUGUUACAAGAAUCCAAUAAGGAAUUCACACAAUACAAUGAAUUGUAAGUAGAAAAAACGCCGCAAAAGAAAUUAGAAAAUUUCAAAAAGUGCGAAAUGUUUACCUUAACUGACUAUAUAUGUGAGGGCGUUUUUUUUUUUUUUUGGGGGGGGUUCUUUCAAAGUUUUCAUCUGUAUCCAAUAUAUUGUGGUUUAAAUGUUUUUUGCUGACAUCAUCAACCCGUUUAUUCCAAAACUGAUUCAGGGACCCAGGUUUGAAAAACUUACCCAAGUUAGUCCCGGUGAAAAAUGACUGAUGUCACCACCUUGUUUCCAAAUUAUUUGGCCUCAAAGUUUUAGUGCAUUGUAACAUCUUUUUUAAUUUAUUAUAAGAUAUUGUAGCUCCUGUUACUUUUGUCACUGGAACUUGCUUUGUAUUUUAGCAUUUGUUUUAUUGCAAUUUUAUUGCGAAAUGUUUACCUUAACUGACUAUAUAUGUGAGGGCGUUUUUUUUUUUUUUUGGGGGGGGGGGGUUCUUUCAAAAUUUCAUCUGUAUCCAAUAUAUUGUGGUUUAAAUGUUUUUUGAUGACAUCAUCAACCCCUUUAUUCCAAAACUGAAUCAGGGACCCAGGUUUGAAAAACUUACCCAAGUUAGUCCCGGUGAAAAAUGACUGAUGUCACCACCUCGUUUCCAAAUUAUUUGGCCUCAAAGUUUUAUUGCAUUGUAACAUCUUUUUUAAUUUAUUAUAAGAUAUUGUAGCUCCUAUUACUUUUGUCACUGGAACUUGCUUUGUAUUUUAGCGUUUGUUUUAUUGCAACAAACAAAUAACUAAAAUAUUCACAUUUUAAACACUGAUAAUUACAUUCUAAUAUUUUUGCCAUUAUCAAAAACGAUUUAAUAAAUUACCAGGUUUUUGUAGGCUUGUACAAGUCAAUUUCUUCAUUAGAUUGCUCAC